ensembl:miRNA
UGUGUACACCAACUGUGAUAUUAGGAGUCCUGUUUAUUUUUAGGAUAUUAGGAAUAAUAUCACAGUAGGUGUACACA